UACGGAGGGGGCUAGCGUUGUUCGGAAUUACUGGGCGUAAAGCGUACGUAGGCGGCUUUGUAAGUUAGAGGUGAAAGCCCGGGGCUCAACUCCGGAAUUGCCUUUAAGACUGCAUCGCUUGAAUCAUGGAGAGGUGAGUGGAGUUCCGAGUGUAGAGGUGAAAUUCGUAGAUAUUCGGAAGAACACCAGUGGCGAAGGCGACUCACUGGACAUGUAUUGACGCUGAGGUACGAAAGCGUGGGGAGCAAACAGG
rnacentral:rRNA from 1 species